rnacentral:rRNA from 1 species
AAUCUUCGGCAAUGGACGAAAGUCUGACCGAGCAAUGCCGCGUGUGUGAAGUAGGUCUUCGUAGUGUAAAACUCUUUUUUUUGGGAAGUAAGGCUAUUGUAGGAAAUGACAUUAUUUUGACGGUACCAAAUGAGAAAGCCACGGCUAACUACGUGCCAGCAGCCGCGGUAAUACGUAGGUGGCGAGCGUUGCACGGAAUUAUUGUGCGUAAAGAGUGCGUAGGCGGUUAGUAAAGUCUAGUUUGAAAGCCCAUGGCUUAACCCUGGAGGGUGACUGGAAACUGGCUAACUUGAGGAUAGGAGAGGAAAGUGGAAUUCCACGUGUGGAGGUGAAAUGCGUAGAGAUGUGGAGGAACACCAGUGGCGAGGGCGGCUUUCUGGCAUAUAACUGACGCUAAUGCACGAAAGCGUGGGUAGCAAAC